rnacentral:tRNA from 1 species
ACAUUUGUCUAGCCUGGUCAAGACAUUCGACUCGCAUUCGAAGAACGCCGGUUCAAAUCCGGCAUGUA